rnacentral:misc_RNA from 1 species
UUAAUCAUUAUCUUAUGUCUGCAAAUGUUACAUUUUUUAAGUGUAAUCCAUUUUUUCCCCCAUCAUCUAUUUAUCACAAUCAAGAAGGGGAAGAUGAUCUCUUAGUUUACACUGUCACACAUAAAUUAUUCCACUAAAUGGUAUCAGACUAGUGAGGCUUAACAACUGAAGAUCCCAAACCUAAAAGCAUGGUGGGAUGAGUCUUAGAGAGCUAGACCUAUGAGUAAAGCCCUUGCAAACCAAACUGAAGUGGAUCCAUGUGCUACUUAGUGAAAUAGACCUUAAGGACAAAGCCAAGAGAAGCCCGACCCAAGUUAGAUGGACCAACCUAUGCAAUACCAAGUGACAACUAAGUUGCACUUAAGGGGGAGUGGUGGGACAUAUGGCUUGUGCG